rnacentral:misc_RNA from 1 species
CUCUCCCUAUUUCUCUAUUUCAGUUAUUGUGCAGGUCUGAUGUGUAACACUAUUUUACCUCAAAGUCUCAAACCUAGCUACAAGAAACAUAGACGUGACACUGGUGCCCCCGCCCCUCUUUUCUUCUGAUUUGAAUUUUGCUAUUCUCUUUGCUCUCAAGAAAUUUUGUUAUUCUUUUUUUUUUUUCUAUUUUUAUUUUAAAUUACUUUAGUUCUUGAAGUGUAUUUUAUUUUUUAAACUAUCAUUUUAUUGAUGAAAUAUCAAGACUUCCAUCAAAAUAUAAGAAAAAUAAAAUCCUCAUCUUUAUAAUAAUAUAAUUUAUGCAUUUUUUUUGAUUUCUAAACUGUUGACACUCUUUUUAAAAUAGUGAUGAAUUCUUUAGCUUUUUUAAGUUCCUGCACAUUUUCUUUUUAAAAGUGAACAAUAUUGACAAAUUUUCUAAAAUAAUAAUAAACUUGAGUUGACAUUUUUAUUCUAAAAAAUAUUUGGAUUUUAAGUAACCCAAUAAUUAUUAAAUCUUCAAAUAAUAAUCUAUUUGAUGAAUUUAACUACAAAUUGUAUUGUGAUGAAAUAUCGUAAUUUUUUGCUUGUUAAUAUUAUGGUUAAGUGAUAUCAUGUGUUAUUUUUUUACAGAUAUUAAAUACACUUUCUCAAUAUACUUGAAAGAGGGAUAUUUAGGCUCCAUUUGUUUCGUAAAAAAUAAUUUGUAUAUGAAAAAUAUUUUCUGUUAUUUGGUUGUAAUGUUAAACAAUAUGUGCUUAAGUCAUGCAUAGUAUGACAAUCUUUCCUUUUCUAGAGGAAAUCAUAAGAUUAUCAAAAUUUUAAAAAUGAAAAAUGACUUCUUAUUAUGAAAAGUGAAAGUCAUUUUCCUUAAAAAUGACUUAAUUUUUCUUUUGAUCAGGAAAAUAUUUUUAUUGACCCAUUUUUUUUAGUUCUCUAAAUGCUAGAAAAUAAGGAAAUAUUUUCCAUAAAACAAAAGGAGGCUUAGAUUUGGAAAUUCAUAUAUUCAUGUAAAGAAAAUAGCAUCAAUGCAUCACAACAUACAAGUAAUAAAUAUUUUGAGAUAUAUUUCUUUAUCACUGUUGAUUUGGCAUCCAAUUAAGCAGUAUGCAUAUAGUUUAUGUGUUACAUAGUUAUAGUAGAAGGAUUGAAUUUGACAUCAACUGAAAAAUGACUAAAUAAAAUUUCUAAUUAGUAAUAAAUAGUACUCUUUUAAAAUUAUAUGAAUAUAAUAUUUGAAUUAUCAUAAAACUAGAAUUUUAUUUUUCAAUUAAAAAUUUUAUUUUAAUUUUUAAUCAUACCAACAACAAUAUUAUUAUUACCUGCAGCAUCACACAGCGUACACCAACUUUUACAUAGCCAAAAGUCUAAAACGAUACCUGAACAGUCCAUUUUGAGGCCCCUGAGCAUGUUUUAACCUGCAAAGACCCACAAAUAACAGCAUAACCGAGAAUAUAAUGUAAUUAUAUGCCGUCCAUCCCAUAAAUUAGAUGAAAUAUUAUUAUUACAUCUUCAGGAACAUCCUCGGGACUGUCAAAAACUGAUUCCAUUGGAUAAACUUUGGUAAUUUCCAUUAAGGAAUCAUCUGGCAAUGUGCGUGAUUCAUCAAAUUUCCCAUGCCGUAGACUGCUUUCAAAUAUGUUUAGUGCCUGCAGCAGCAAGAGAUUUUGCAAUAGCCCAUCCAUAUCCAUUGUCAUCGGCUACACCAGCAACAAAUGCUCUCUUACCUUGAUUACAAGUCUCAAUCACUCUUGAUUAACCUUCAAUUCACCAAAACCCUUGUCUCGUCUUCUUAGUCUCCCCAAGCCAAAUUCCUCAAUUGGCCAACACUCCUUCACUAAUCUUCCAAAUUUCCUAAAAUCCUUGCUUGCUUUCUUCAAAUCAAGGCUUGAUAUAAGGUUUUUUCUUGAUUUGCUAUAAAAAUAAUGGACGAAUUUAUGGAUUUUAAAGCUUGGAAAGGAAGCUUCAAUAGAGGAUAUAGAGAGAGAGUGGACGUCAAGGUGAGGGAAGAAGAAGAUGAAGAUGACUAAGAUGAGGUGAUGGUGAUGAUGAGGUGUUUAAUGAGUUGGCAUUAUAAUUAAUAUUUUUGUCUUAUGUUACAUAAUUACCUAAAUAAUUAUAAGUAUAAUUCUAAUUAUAAUUAUUAAAAUUCAACAAUUCCAUCUAUGUCCCCAUUAAAUUUUCAUACUCCUUUUAAUUAAUUAAAUCUCAUUUUGAUACAUCAUUCUUGCUUAAUUUAAUUAACAUUUUGGUCAAAAGUCAACUCUUCAAGUGAAUUAAUCAAAAUGCCUUUCAUCGGGUUAUAGUUCAUCUUUUUCAAUAAUACCGAUUAAGUCCAUAACCCGAUGGUCACUUCAGUUUUUAUUCUGCUUAUCUUAAUUAAUUUCUAUCUCAUUUUUAUUCUUUAAGAUGGCUUUGAAUAAUACUAUUCACAGACCGGAAAUAGUACUAUUCAGAGCUCAGAAUUCUCGGGACGUUACAGUUUCUUUUCCUAGUCUUCAAGCUUCCAUGCCUCACUAAUGUGAUAGAAAAAAAAAUGAUAUCUGCAUUUUUAUUUGACCUCAUAAUUCAUAUUUACGGAAAAUGUAUUCAUCUGCUUUGUCUAUUUUAUUUGACAUUAUUUUAUAGAAUUAGACAUUCACAAUCCCAAUUGCAAGGUAGCUUGUGUCCACAUUGAAAGUAUGAGAUUCUAGCCUCAAUGGCUGCUUUUAGGGUGUGGAUCUCCUAAGUUCAUGUUAAUAGUAUCAAAACCAUCCACUAUGACCCCUUGUUGCAAUCGCGUGGUGCACGUGGUGAUGUUAGAAUUGCAGUACUCACACGAGGCUAAGUUAAGCUAGUGCAACUCCAGCCUGCGUAGGCACUAAGGCUAUGGAGCGUGGUGGAAUGUUACAAUC